rnacentral:rRNA from 1 species
GGUUAUACAAAAUAUACAAAUAAAUUUUAUUAUUUUGUAGUUAAAUUAAAUUGUAAAUUAAAUUAAAAGUUUGUAAAUAAGGUGAAAUUUUUUAUAAAUUUAAAUUUAUUAAUUAAUUAGUUGAAGCUAUUAGAUUUAAUAAAUAAACUAGGAUUAGAUACCCUAUUAUUUUAAAAGUAAAUUAUUUAAAUUAGGUAGUAAUAGUUAUAUUCUUGAAACUUAAAAAAUUUGGCGGUAUUUUAAUCUAUUUAGAGGAAUCUGUUCCAUAAUCGAUAGCCCACGAUAAAUUUUACAUAAUUUUAUUUAGUUUGUAUAUCGUCGUUAUAAGAAAAUUUUAUAAGAAAUUUAAUUUUCUAGGAUUUUUAUAAUAAUAUAUUUCAGAUCAAGKKSMRGCUUAUWAUUAUGAGGAAAUGGAUUACAAUAAAUUUAUUUAUAAUGAAUAAUAAAAUGAAUUUUUUAUUUGAAGGUGGAUUUAAUAGUAAAUUAAAUUAUAUAAUUUAGUUGAUUUUAGUUCUAAAAUAUGCACAUAUCGCCCGUCGCUCUCUUUAUUUAAAAAGAGAUAAGUCGUAACAAAGUAGAUGUACUGGAAAGUGUAUCUAGAAUGGUACA